CGAGUGGGUCGGGCGGCCGCUGCCGCGGGUUCGUUUCCUUCACCAGCGGCGGAGGAAAGUCCGGGCUCCAUAGGGCAGGAUGCCGGGUAACGCCCGGUCGGCGCAAGCCGAAGGAUAGCGCAACAGAAAACAAACGGCCUCGUUCAGGAGGUUACGGUGAAAAGGCGGAGACCGGCGACGGCCCGCCGGGCGCUCCGCGAGGAGCGCCCUUGGCAAGCCCCAUCCGGAGCAAGAUCGAAUAGAAGGGGACGAAGCUGCCCGCUGACCCUUGGGUCGAUCGCUAGAGCGUCGGACGCUAGAGCGCCAUGGACGCGUAGCGCCGUUGACGCGGAGGAGGGCCGCGAGGCCCUUCCUAGAUAAAUGGCCGCCGGCGGUCUGAUGGCCGUGCACAGAACCCGGCUUAUGACCCGCUCGCAUC
rnacentral:RNase_P_RNA from 1 species